rnacentral:rRNA from 1 species
CGAAGCUGGAAUCGCUAGUAAUCGCGGAUCAGAAUGCCGCGGUGAAUACGUUCCCGGGUCUUGUACACACCGCCCGUCACACCAUGGGAGUCGGAAAUGCCCGAAGUCUGUGACCCAACCUGAGAGGGAGGGAGCAGCCGAAGGCAGGUCUGAUGACUGGGGUGAAGUCGUAACAAGGUAUC